ensembl:snoRNA
GGGGUGUGAUCAGAGCAGGGAGUCUGAAGAAUGGCUUCUCUGUUUACAACACAUCCAACAGGAAUAUGGGUUUACUCCUCACAGGUGGUAGAGUACUAUGACCUUCCUGUGACAUUAUGCCCUAAACAU